AGCCGAAACGCCUUCGGGCGUCCGUCGGGAAUGACCUCCCGGCGCUGACGAGGCAGGUUCCU
rnacentral:hammerhead_ribozyme from 1 species